GGCAGAAGAGAUCAGAAAGACUCCAUGAUUCAGGGAAGCCAUGUUCAGGAGGGUGGGGGGAGAGGAAGUGUCCUGGACUCCACAGAAGACUCUGACCUCAGCCCAGAGAAUGCUCCAGAGUGAGAUACUUCCAGUACAACUCUGAAAGGCAAAAGCUGAAUGAAAGAUUGUGUCAAACUGAGAAGAGGACAAUAUAUAGAUAUCAGCAGCAAAGCACCAUGAAGAGAGAAAGGUAAUAUAUAGGACGGAAGAAGAGGAGGUUAUGAUAAAAAGAAUGACCAGGAAAAGAAAGAUGAAGGGGUUGGAGGCACUUCUCUCCAAUUCACAAAUCCAUCAAUGACUAAUAGACACCCAGAUACUACAGUGAUGAAGGCCACAUCAGAACCUCAAUAGACGUCCUUCAUUUCAACAGUCAUCUCAUUUUAGUCCCCAAAUUAUUUACUUUGCACACAAAUUUGGUAUCCUUUCACUAUUAUUAUUAAAAAUA